UUUCUGUAUAGCACUUUGUGACAUCGGCUGAUGUAAAAAGGGCUUUAUAAAUACAUUUGAUUGAUUUGGAACCACAAAGACUCCUCCUAGAGCUGGCCGCCCAGCCAAACUGAGAAAAAGGGCGGGAAGGGCCUGCCAGGGCCUGGCACAUGACAGCCCACUUGGAGUAACCAAAAGGCACCUAAAGGACUCUCAGACCAUGAGAAACAAGAUUCUCUGGUAUGAGGAAUCCAAGAUUGAACUCUUUGGCCUGAAUGCCAAGUGUCACGUCUGGAAGCAUCCCUAGAGUGAAGCAUAGUGGGGAUGUUUUUCAACGGCAGGGACUGGGAAACUUGUCAGGAUUGAGGGAAAGAUGAACGGAGCAAAUUACAGAGAGAUCCUUGAUGAAAACCUGCUCCAGAGCGCUCAAGACCUCAGACUGGGGCGAAGGUUCACCUUCCAAUAGGACAACGACCCUAAGCACGCAGCCAAGACAAGGCAGCAGUGGCUUCGGGACAGGUCUCUGAAUGUCCUUGAGUGGCCCAGUCAGAGCCUGGACUUGUACCCGAUCAAACAUCUCUGGAGAGACCUGAAAAUAGCUGUGCAGCAACGUCCCCCAUCCAACCUGACAGAGCUUGAGAGGAUCUGCAGAGAAGAAUGGGAGAAAUUCCCCAAAUACAGGGGUGCCAAGCUUGUAAGGUCAUACCCAAGAAGACUCAAUGAUGUAGAAGCAUGGUGGCUAGGAAAAACUCCCUAGAAAGGCAGGAACCUAGGAAGAAACCUAGAGAGGACCAGGCUCUGAUGGGUGGCCAGUCCUCUUCUGGCUGUGCCUGCUGAAGAUUAUAACAGUACAUGGCCAAGAUGUUCAAACGUUCAUAGAUGACCAGCAGGGUCAAAUAAUAAUAAUCACAGUGGUUGUAGAGGGUGCAACAGGUCAGCACCUCAGGAGUAACUGUCAGUUGGCUUUUCAUAGCCGAUCCUUCAGAGUUAGAGACAGCAGGUGCGGUAGAGAGAGAGAGUCGAAAACAGCAGGUCCGGGACAAGGUAGCACGUCCGGUGAACUGAUCAGGGUUCCAGAACAGUUGAAACUGGAGCAGCAGCACGACCAGCGUCUUGACUUGGUCUCCUUCUCAAGUAACUUUCAUCAACAAGUCCCUUAUCUCUGGUAGGCUAUAUCUUGGCAUGCAUCAUUCAAGACUAAGUUUAAAUUGUGUGCAGUGCAAUAGACAUACACUACAUGACCAAAAUGAUGUGGACACCUGCUUGUCGAACAUCUCAUUCCAAAAUCAU
rnacentral:lncRNA from 1 species